rnacentral:rRNA from 1 species
UACGUAGGGAGCAAGCGUUGUCCGGAAUCAUUGGGCGUAAAGCGCGCGUAGGUGGCCUCAUAAGUCCGCUGUGAAAGUCAAAGGCUCAACCUUUGAAAGCCGGUGGAUACUGUGGGGCUAGAGUACGGAAGAGGCGAGUGGAAUUCCUGGUGUAGCGGUGGAAUGCGCAGAUAUCGGGAAGAACACCCGUGGCGAAGGCGGUUCUCUGGGACGGUACUGACGCUGAGACGCGAAAGCGUGGGGAGCGAACAGG